GAUGAACGCUAGCGGGAGGCUUAACACAUGCAAGUCGAGGGGCAGCACGAGAUAGCAAUAUUUGGUGGCGACCGGCGCACGGGUGAGUAACACGUAUGCAACCUACCUCGUACAGGGGGAUAACCCGGAGAAAUUCGGACUAAUAUCCCAUAAUAAUAUUGAAAGGCAUCUUUUAAUAUUUAAAGCUCAGGCGGUACGGGAUGGGCAUGCGGAACAUUAGCUAGUUGGUAGGGUAACGGCCUACCAAGGCUGCGAUGUUUAGGGGACCUGAGAGGGUUAUCCCCCACACUGGUACUGAGACACGGACCAGACUCCUACGGGAGGCAGCAGUGAGGAAUAUUGGUCAAUGGGCGCAAGCCUGAACCAGCCAUCCCGCGUGAAGGAAGAAGGCGCUAUGCGUCGUAAACUUCUUUUCCAGGGGGAGAAUUUUCCGGUCGUGACCGGAAUUGACGGUACUCUGGGAAUAAGCAUCGGCUAACUCCGUG
rnacentral:rRNA from 1 species